rnacentral:rRNA from 1 species
AGGCUUUGAUCCUGGCUCAGGAUGAACGCUGGCGGCGUGCUUAACACAUGCAAGUCGAACGAACCUUCGGGUUAGUGGCGGACGGGUGAGUAACGCGUGAGAAUCUGCCCUCAGGAGGGGGAUAACGGCUGGAAACGGCCGCUAAUACCCCAUAUGCCGAGAGGUGAAACGAAUUUCGCCUGAGGAUGAGCUCGCGUCUGAUUAGCUAGUUGGUGGGGUAAAGGCCUACCAAGGCGACGAUCAGUAGCUGGUCUGAGAGGAUGAUCAGCCACACUGGGACUGAGACACGGCCCAGACUCCUACGGGAGGCAGCAGUGGGGAAUUUUCCGCAAUGGGCGAAAGCCUGACGGAGCAACGCCGCGUGAGGGAUGAAGGCCUCUGGGCUGUAAACCUCUUUUCUCAAGGAAGAAGAUCUGACGGUACUUGAUGAAUAAGCCACGGGGU